rnacentral:rRNA from 1 species
CAGCAGCCGCGGGAAUACGUAGGUGGCAAGCGUUGUCCGGAAUUAUUGGGCGUAAAGGGCUCGCAGGCGGUUUCUUAAGUCUGAUGUGAAAGCCCCCGGCUCAACCGGGGAGGGUCAUUGGAAACUGGGAAACUUGAGUGCAGAAGAGGAGAGUGGAAUUCCACGUGUAGCGGUGAAAUGCGUAGAGAUGUGGAGGAACACCAGUGGCGAAGGCGACUCUCUGGUCUGUAACUGACGCUGAGGAGCGAAAGCGUGGGGAGCGAACAGGAUUAGAUACCCCGGUAGUCCCUGUCUCUUAUAA